rnacentral:rRNA from 1 species
AUGAAAAUGAUCAGUUGGAACUGUAGAGGGCUGGGUCGGCCUCGUACAGUUCAAGAAUUAGUUUGUAUCAAUAAAGCUUACCGACCCAACAUCAUUUUUCUUUCUGAGACUAGGCAAAAUAAAGAUUAUGUUGAUAGUUUGCGGUACCGUUUGGGUAUGAAAAAUGUUUUUUCUGUUUCGGGUAAAGGCAAAGGUGGUGGUUUAGCGAUUUUCUGGGAUGAGAGUUUCUCUAUGGAGUUAAACAAAUUUGGGGACCAUUUUAUUGAUCUAUACAUAUGUAACAGUGAUGGAUCAAGAUGGAGAUGCACUUGUGUUUAUGGAGAACCAAAGGCGACCCAAAGGUAUGUCAUGUGGGAGCUUUUGCGACGAGUUAAACUGCUGGGUUCUGGUCCCUGGUUUAUGGUCGGCGAUUUUAAUGAAGCUAUGUGGCAGUAUGAGCAUUUUUCUCGUAUUAAAAGAUCGCCUAAGCUCAUGGCAAAUUUCCGGGAGCUUCUUUCUGAUUGCAAUUUAUUUGAUCUAGGUUUCCAUGGAGUGCUGAUAAUAAGCAGGAUGGCCUCCGAAAUGUGA